ACUCUCUCAGCUCUACAUAAACAAGUGACACUUGUUUGCACAGGUGAUUGGGAGAUAAAGGAUCUCCUCGGGACCUCAGGUUGGCCUCACAGUGGCUAGUCUUUCCUAAAAGGGUGCAAUAGGG